CAAUAGUUAAUCUGGAAAGUGUUAGUAUUAAAAGUGUUGGUGUUAGUGUUAAAAAUGCCUAAGCUUUGUGUGGCAAUAGGCUGUAAUAACAAACAGUUGUCAGUCUUUUCCUUUCCAAAGGAUGCAGACAGCAAGAGAGAAAACGUCUGACAGACAAUGCUACACCUACUAUAAUCAACUGCCCUAAUCCUCCUCCAUCAACUGCUGGUAGACGUGUGCUACGCAGGAUCGAAAACACUGGCUUAAAGCAGAAAAGGCAAAAGAAAAACUCUCUGAUGCCCUGAAAGUUCUUCCUCCAGAGACUGCAGAGUUUUUACACCAUCAAGUCAAAACUUGUGGCCAAAAACAGAGAGCAAGAAAAUUCCCAACAUCUAUCAAACAGCUGGGUGUGCAGAUUUUCCAUCACAGCCAGAACGCUUACAGGACAUUGAGGAGGCAUUUUAUUCUUCCAUCCUCAUCAACACUUCAACAGUUCAUAAAUACCAACGUGGGCCAUUUCCAUCCAGGUUUCCUUGAUCCAAUUCUGAACCAGAUGGCACAGUUAGCCAAAACAAUGAAGGCA